rnacentral:tRNA from 1 species
CAAAAUGUAGCUUAACUAAAGCCUCUCGCUUACACCGAGCCAAUAUCCGUUCGACCCGGAUCAUUUUGAG